AAAUUGAAGAGUUUGAUCAUGGCUCAGGUUGAACGCUGGCGGCAGGCCUAACACAUGCAAGUCGAACGGUAACAGGAAGCAGCUUGCUGCUUCGCUGACGAGUGGCGGACGGGUGAGUAAUGUCUGGGAAACUGCCUGAUGGAGGGGGAUAACUACUGGAAACGGUAGCUAAUACCGCAUAACGUCGCAAGACCAAAGGGGGGGACCUUCGGGCCUCUUGCCAUCGGAUGUGCCCAGAUGGGAUUAGCUUGUUGGUGGGGUAACGGCUCACC
rnacentral:rRNA from 1 species